UAAAAUUUCAGAUACUGUGCUUUUUAGUCCCAAAAUAUACAUUUGGUUCCCUUUUAUAGCAUCUGUUUCUCUGCUAAGAAUUCCUAUCCCUUCAUUCAUUUCAAGUAUGUUUUCCUUUACUUCAUGUAGCAGAGUUAUAAGGGCUGCUUCAAAGUCUUUAUAUGAUGGUUCCAACAGGUUUCUGUUUUUGUAUUUUUGUAAUAAGUAGAAGAGAUGGGCUGUAGUGGGCUUACACUGCCUUGGCAGAUCAGAAGUAUCUUUUAACAUAUGCAUAAACUAAGAUCAAAGAAUAACAUCCACUCAGCAGUCAUGUUUGGGACUAAAGAAAAGGAAAAGAACAAUGUCCCCUUACUUCAUUCUUUUCCAUGUAGGCAACUUGAGC
rnacentral:lncRNA from 10 species